AUGACCGGUAUAGGGAUUACUAAGGGGACUAAAGAAACAAGAACAACAACAACUAAUUCAUCCGCCAAUAUAUUCCCGAAAAGUCGAAAGCUAAGUAGUCCUGCAAGACAGGCAGAAGAUCAAAGUAAGAACAAGAAUAGCAAAGCUAAAUCCACUAAGAAUUUCCAAGCCGCCUGCUCAGCAGCCGACUCGGAACUCGGGGACUAA
rnacentral:rRNA from 1 species